rnacentral:rRNA from 1 species
UACGGGGGGUGCAAGCGUUAUUCGGAAUUAUUGGGCGUAAAGGGCGCGUAGGCGGUUUUAUAAGUCAGAUGUGAAAUACCUGGGCUUAACCGAGGAAGUGCAUUUGAAACUAUGAGACUUGAGUAUGGGAGAGGGUAGUGGAAUUCCUGGUGUAGAGGUGAAAUUCGUAGAUAUCAGGAGGAACACCUGUGGCGAAAGCGGCUACCUGGACCAAUACUGACGCUGAGGCGCGAAGGCGUGGGGAGCAAACAGG